AUUGAACGCUGGCGGCAGGCCUAACACAUGCAAGUCGAGCGGAAACGGCAACAUUGAUUCUUCGGAUGAUUUGUUGGACGUCGAGCGGCGGACGGGUGAGUAAUGCUUAGGAAUUUGCCCAGUCGAGGGGAUAACUAUUGGAAACGAUAGCUAAUACCGCAUACGCCCUACGGGGGAAAAGAGGGGACCUUCGGGCCUUCUGCGAUUGGAUAAGCCUAAGUGAGAUUAGCUAGUUGGUGAGGUAAUGGCUCACCAAGGCGACGAUCUCUAGCUGGUCUGAGAGGAUGAUCAGCCACACUGGAACUGAGACACGGUCCAGACUCCUACGGGAGGCAGCAGUGGGGAAUAUUGCACAAUGGGCGCAAGCCUGAUGCAGCGACGCCGCGUGAACGAUGAAGGCUUUUCGAGUCGUAAAGUUCUGUUCUUGGGGAA
rnacentral:rRNA from 1 species